AGCAGCCGCGGUAAUUCCAGCUCCAAUAGCGUAUAUUAAAGUUGUUGCAGUUAAAAAGCUCGUAGUUGAAUUUCGGGAUUAGUAGGUUGGUCGUGCCUCUGGUAUGUACUCGCCUUACUGAUUCCUCCUUCUUGAAGAACUGUAAUGCCAUUAAUUUGGUGUUGCGGGGAAACAGGACUGUUACUUUGAAAAAAUUAGAGUGUUUAAAGCAGGCCAUUGCCUGAAUACAUUAGCAUGGAAUAAUGAAAUAGGACGUUGAUCCUAUUUUGUUGGUUUCUAGGAUUGACGUAAUGAUUAAUAGGGAUAGUUGGGGGCAUUAGUAUUCAAUUGUCAGAGGUGAAAUUCUUGGAUUUAUUGAAGACUAACUACUGCGAAAGCAUUUGCCAAGGAUGUUUUCAUUAAUCAAGAACGAAAGUUAGGGGAUCGAAGACGAUCAGAUACCGUCGUAGUCUUAACCAUAAACUAUGCCGACUAGGGAUCGGAUGAUGUUAAUUUUUAAUGACUCAUUCGGCGCCUUACG
rnacentral:rRNA from 1 species